rnacentral:lncRNA from 1 species
CCUGGGCCUCGGGUGGCAGAGCCCAGGCCCCAAAUGGCCCCCUGCUCUCCAGGGGGUCUUGAUAGGGUCCCUGCUCACUAGAACCACAAGGAGUGAGUGGGGGCUCCUCUGUCCAGCCUGUUCUUUCAGAGCACGGCUGUGGCCUGAUCAUGACCGACAUCCGGGAGGGACAAACUUUCUAUUACGCCGAGGAUUACCACCAGCAGUACCUGAGCAAGAACCCCAACGGGUACUGCGGCCUUGGGGGCACUGGAGCGUCCUGUCUGCUGGGUAUUUGUUAUGGACUCAAAAUUCAUAUAUUGGAGCCCUAGCCCUCAGUGGGGCUGUAUAUGUUGAUGGAGCCACUGAGAAAGAAAUUAAGGUUAAAUGAGGUCAUCAGGGUGCCCUGAUCCUACAGGAUUAGAGUCCUUAUGAGAAGACACCCUGGAGUGCGCCCUCCGUCCGUGAACAGCUCUGAGGCCACGCAAGGACACAGUGAGAGGCAGCUGUCUGCAAGCCAGGAAGAGGGCCCUCCCCAGGAAAUGAACAGGCUGGCACCUUGAUCGCAGACUUCCAGCCCCCAGAGCUGUUAGAAAAUAAAGUUCUGUUACAAUGUCAUAGAAAUAGCAUCAUACAGAAUACAGCUGGUUGUGUCUGGCUUCUUC